rnacentral:rRNA from 1 species
UACGUAGGUGGCGAGCGUUAUCCGGAAUUAUUGGGCGUAAAGAGCGCGCAGGUGGUUAAUUAAGUCUGAUGUGAAAGCCCACGGCUUAACCGUGGAGGGUCAUUGGAAACUGGUCGACUUGAGUGCAGAAGAGGGAAGUGGAAUUCCAUGUGUAGCGGUGAAAUGCGUAGAGAUAUGGAGGAACACCAGUGGCGAAGGCGGCUUCCUGGUCUGUAACUGACACUGAGGCGCGAAAGCGUGGGGAGCAAACAGGAUUAGAUACCCU